GCCGCGUUAUGAUGAAAAACACAUUUGACGAUUUAAACCGAUGCCUUGCAACAAAUGCCAAUUGUACUACUGAUAAUUCGGGAGUCUGUAACGUUUGCUGUAGAGGUGGAAGAUGUAACUAUGGUGAUUGUCAUGCAAUAAGACAGCGACUGUUUGAGGAGUACAAUCGUGGUGUGUUUAGUUUGGACACCCUGGAGUCCACGUCUGGUGUAACAGGGUAACACAUGCGGAGCGGCCUUUUAGACAGUUAGGUCGCCGUUCAGACUACUGUGAAAUGCCUUGUGUGUAUUGCAAUACAUUGAAAUAAGGGUAUUUUCUCA